rnacentral:rRNA from 1 species
UGGGGAAUAUUGCACAAUGGGCGAAAGCCUGAUGCAGCGACGCCGCGUGAGGGAUGACGGCCUUCGGGUUGUAAACCUCUUUCAGCAGGGACGAAGCGUGAGUGACGGUACCUGCAGAAGAAGCACCGGCUAACUACGUGCCAGCAGCCGCGGUAAUACGUAGGGUGCGAGCGUUGUCCGGAAUUAUUGGGCGUAAAGAGCUCGUAGGCGGUUUGUUGCGUCGGGCCGUGAAAACUUCACGCUUAACGUGGAGCCUGCGGUCGAUACGGGCAGACUUGAGUUCGGCAGGGGAGACUGGAAUUCCUGGUGUAGCGGUGAAAUGCGCAGAUAUCAGGAGGAACACCGGUGGCGAAGGCGGGUCUCUGGGCCGAUACUGACGCUGAGGAGCGAAAGCGUGGGGAGCGAACAGGAUUAGAUACCCUGGUAGUCCACGCCGUAAACGGUGGGUGCUAGGUGUGGGGGGCGUUCCGACGUCC